rnacentral:rRNA from 1 species
CCUACGGGUGGCAGCAGUGAGGAAUAUUGGUCAAUGGACGAGAGUCUGAACCAGCCAAGUAGCGUGAAGGAUGACUGCCCUAUGGGUUGUAAACUUCUUUUAUAUGGGAAUAAAACGUUCCACGUGUGGGAUUUUGUAUGUACCAUAUGAAUAAGGAUCGGCUAACUCCGUGCCAGCAGCCGCGGUAAUACGGAGGAUCCGAGCGUUAUCCGGAUUUAUUGGGUUUAAAGGGAGCGUAGGUGGAUUGUUAAGUCAGUUGUGAAAGUUUGCGGCUCAACCGUAAAAUUGCAGUUGAAACUGGCAGUCUUGAGUACAGUAGAGGUGGGCGGAAUUCGUGGUGUAGCGGUGAAAUGCUUAGAUAUCACGAAGAACUCCGAUUGCGAAGGCAGUUCACUGGACUGCAACUGACACUGAGGCUCGAAAGUGUGGGUAUCAAACAGGAUUAGAUACUCUUGUAGUC